AUACGGGGCAGUUAUAUCCAUGUCUUUGCUCAACAACAUGGAAUAACUUCCCCGUACUC
rnacentral:pre_miRNA from 1 species